GGAAGAUCCUUCGAGCUUAUCCCAAGCGAGAAAAGCGCCUGGCUUUCUUUCUACGCCUCUUGGUCACCUGCGCGCCCCCGUUUUCUCAUAAUUCCCUUGCAGAUCUCUUCCUCGAGGCUUCCCUGCCUUGCAUCAUGUUCUCGAAUUCGGCUAGGUCGCUUAGGGAGCCACACGCUGAUGGCCGGUAGAAGACUGUGAACCGAUUGACUCUAUUAAAAUUCUGGUCUGAACUUCGAUAGGUCGAGGAUCUUCUUUCUGAGCGAUCUACUUCAAGAUCUCUAAAAUGAUCGCUUCAAUUUACGGGAUCCGCUUCCGUUUCGAUUGCGUGGCGUUCGUCCGGAGCCAAAUUUUCAGGUUCGGUGUCUGAGAGUUAUGGGAAGGCUUGCUGGUCCCCACGAAGGCGCUGGAUCUGUCGGGGCGGGAUUGCGGAGAUGAUGUUAUGAAGAUCAAUUGUGGCAGAUCGUUCCAUGUAACUUGUUGAUGUAAAUGGAUGUAUAGGAUAAUAUCAGGACGAAAGGGCCAGAGUUUGAAUUUGGCUGAUGAGUCCUGAUUCAUCUUUGUCAUCUGACCUUUGCCAUGACAGGUGCGCUUGCAUGGCAGGUCACAAAGAACCAUAAUAAAAAAGUGAUACGUUUUUUGGUUUGAGGGGGAGAUCGCACGGGAAUUUUGCCCGGGGUCUCCCCACCGGUGUGUGCCGUUUCCCUGUGCUGCUUUUUCUGCGAUCGUUUAUAUUUUCGCUCUCGACGCCCAUGGUUGCUUACCAGAUGAAAGGGGUAGCUGAUAUACAUCAGCCAACAUUACGGCUCAUGCACUUGCAAUUCACAUGGAGUUUGAGGUAUACUCUUUAUUUCAGAUUUUCCUUUAUCAAUUUAAUUUAUUCAACUAUAGAUUUAAAAAAAAAAAAAAAGAAUUCAACUAUAGAUUUUAGAAGUGCCGACAAACUAUAGGUUCAUUCCAUCGCAUGUCUCGCAGCAGAUUACGAAAAACGGAAAAAUUAUUAAACUAUAGAUUUUAGACUUAAUUAAUGUCUCGCUGCAUGAGACGUUCGUCAAAUCUAUUGAUUUUUUUUUUGUCAUAUGCAAUAGUCGCCCAAAUAAUACAGAACAAAGUAGAUUAGUUGCAUGAUGUAGGUGUUGAUUCUUUGGUGAACAAAAAAAUUAUAUUUCAACUUUUUUUUAAUAUAUAUAAUAUUUUUAUUCAAAUGUUUUCUCUCAAAUUUUUAAAAUCCUAUAAAACAUCUCAACGCAAAUAUUCUGAGAUGUUCUAAGUGUCCUUUUAAGUUUCAUGUAUUUGAGUUUCUAUUUGCCUUCUCUUUAACAAAUGUUUUUUUAUAGUAAUUAUAUAUAUUCUAUAUAUCCAAACCCAAUGAACAAGCACAUAAGCAAGAUGAAUCUAUUCUCCUUUUAGUGGCCGUAAUUACACUGCUCUACUAAUUAUAUUAUCUCAAUGACAUCAUAAUUUCUCCAUGGCAUCUCAACUCUGGCUUUGCAAGGGCUCAACGUCAGCAAUUCAUGUAAAUAUUCAAAACAUCAGUUAUAAUGUUGCAAUUUUUCCCUCAUAAUUGCCAACGCGUAUCAAUAGCUUGUCCCUUUUUUUUUUUUUUUUUUUUUACUUACUCCGAUAUUGGAGCUGUGAUAUACCGAAACUUGUAGUUAUGGACCACUUUCUUUCUUAUGUUGUGUUAUAUCCUGGAGUUGAACAUGAAAUAGUAUUUCUACUACGCUUUGAGAUCAUGAACUGUAUUCAUGUAUCAAGUCUUUUUGGACAUUCAAAGUGCUUGUGUUGAGGUUGUGUUCGCCCUGCAUAUCGACUCUAGCUGGUGAUGUGGAAAGGUGUUGUGCCACUUGAGGUUUUUGGCUGCCAAAGUGACUUGGAAGUUUGAUUCUUAUGGAGGUUUUGCUGCUUUGUUGUUGCAGCAGAAACACUAGGAAGCAUGAGGUUAUGCAGCAUCUGAGUUGGUGAUACCGAGUAUGAUCCAAAAACUAAAAUCUGAACCUUUUCAUUUUGUAGUUCAUUUUCAAUCUUCUGUGACUACCAAUUUCUUUUCCAGAGUUGAUAAAUUUAUUUUCAGCGUUCAUUAUAAUUGCAGUUAGUAGAAGCAUGUUUUUUUAACUUUUGGCUUUAUUUAUUAUGCUACAGAAGAUUGCCUUUGGCUUUAUUUAUUAUCCUACAGAAGAUUGCCUUUGGCUUUGAAGUUUAAAGUUACGAUGUUUAUGAAUGGUAGUGAAAGUCUUUUGGCUUUUUAUCUUUUAUGCUGUCAGAAGAUUGCCUUAGUUUCUUAGUAAUUUAGUAAUUUAAAGUUACGAUGGUUUAAUGAAUUCAUUAACCAAGCAAGUCAAUCAUUCGAUUGAAUUCAUUAAAACAAUAGCUGAUUUCACCCCAUGGAAACUCAUUCGAUUGAUUGGUAAAAGACUAUAUAAAUCCCUUGGGGAUGUUUCUUUCCGAGUCUCAUACCUCUUAAAUCUUUUGUCAAUGAAAUAAUGUGGUGACACAAGCCGAAGUUCAAAAGGGACCAAGGAGCUUGCAACGUCGGUAUGGUAGGUGAAGAUCUUCGAAGUUGUCAUCGGUCUAAGGGCUUAAGACAUCAUCGUUGGUCUCUUCCUCGAGGCUUCCCUGCCUUGCAUCAUGUUCUCGAAUUCGGCUAGGUCGCUUAGGGAGCCACACGCUGAUGGCCGGUAGAAGACUGUGAACCGAUUGACUCUAUUAAAAUUCUGGUCUGAACUUCGAUAGGUCGAGGAUCUUCUUUCUGAGCGAUCUACUUCAAGAUCUCUAAAAUGAUCGCUUCGAUUUACGGGAUCUGCUUCCGUUUCGAUUCUAGGGCGUGGCGUUCGUCCGGAGCCAAUUUUUCAGGUUCGGUGUCUGAGAGUUAUGAUUUCACGGGAAGGCUUGCUGGUCCCCGCGAAGGCGCUGGAUCUGUGGGAGCGCGAUUGCGGAGAUGAUAUUAUGAAAAGAUCAAUUGUGGCAGAUCGUUCCAUGUAAUUUGUUGAUGUAAAUGGAUGUAUAAGAUAAUAUCAGGACGAAAGGACCAGAGUUUGAAUCUGGCUGAUGAGUCCUGAUUCAUUUUUGUCAUCCGGCCUUUGCCAUGACAGGUGCGCUUGCAUGGCAGGUCACAAAGAACCAUAAUAAAAAGUGAUACGUUUCUGUUUGAGGGGGAGAUCGCACGGGGAUUUUGCCCGGGGUCUCCCCACCGGUGUGUGCUGUUUCCCUGUGCUGCUUUUUCUGCGAUCGUUUAUAUUUUCGCUCUCGACGCCCAUGGUUGCUUACCAGAUGAAAGGGGUAGCUGAGAUACAUCAGCAGAAUUACGGCUCAUGCACUGGCAAUUCACAUGGAGUUUGAGGUAUACUCUUCAUAUCAGAUUUUCCUUUAUCUAUUUAAUUUAUUCAACUAUAGAUCUUUUGAAAAAAGAAGUAUUGAAAUUUGAACUAUAGAUUUUAGAAGCAUGUGUCGGAGCAGAUUAUGAAAAACGGAAAAGAUUAUCUUAAUUAAUAUGUUGGAAAUCUUGUCCAUGGAGCAACAAAUCUAUUGACUUCUUUUUUUGUCAUAUUCAAAAGAUUGUUGCAAACGUUUUCCAAACGUCACUCAAUACAAAAUAUUUGUUAAUUUAAAAUCUUCAACUUUUUCCCAAUUGUUGUAAUUUUUCAAAUUUUUAAACAAAAGACAAUAAUAUUUAAACCUUUUUGUAACUUAUAUUUGUCUAUUUGCCUUCCCUUCUACAUCAAAUGUUUUUGAAAGUAAUUAUCUAUAUAAUCAACCCAAUUUACAAUGAACAAGAACAUAAGCAAGACAAUCAAGUCGCCUUUCAGUGGUCGCAAUUACAUUGCACUACUAAUUAUCCAUGGCAUCUCUGGCUUCGUAAUGGCCUAACCGCAGCAGUUCUUGUAACCUCAUAUUUGCCAACGUGUGCGUCUUUGUUGUAGUUUUGGAUCGAAUAUGGUUUACUAGAUUUCAUUUGUUGGAUCAGCAAGUUUCGUCUUUUGGGAGGACUGUAUGUUAAUAUGUACCGCGUAUUUCUACUACACUUUGAGAUCAAGAACUGUAUUCCUGUAUUAAGUCCUUAUGGGCAUUCAAAGUGCUUGUUUUGAGGUUGUGUUCGCCCUGCAUAUCGAUUCUAGCUGGUGAUGUGGAAAGGUGUUGUGCCACAUGUCAAGGUUUUUGGCUGCCAAAGUGACUUGGAAGGUUUUAGGUGUUUCAAGCAUGAGGUUGUGCAGCAUCUGAGGUGAUGAUACCGAUAGUUGGUGAAGAUCUUGGAAGUUGAGUUAAAUGCUCAUUUCUAAUGGGAUCGGUCCGAAGCUGCUUGACGACAAUAAGGGCUUAACUGGACGUCAGCGUCGGUAAGAACUUCAUUUCUUUCUGUUGAUAACUUUUCUGAUAUAAGCUUGCGAGGCCAUUGCGGUCCAAAAAGUCGUCGUUUCUGAACGAAACUAGUGAUACACCAUCGAGUGUUUCUUUAUUUUCGGCAUGAAAUUAUGCAGCAUUUCAUUUGUUAUCAACCUGAGUACAGAGAGACAAGUGAAGUUUGAUUUAUGGUGGACUCCGUUCAAAAAUUUCAAACUCAGAAAACGAGCUUCCUUUAUCUAUUUAGAACGGUUCCCAUUGUUCUUUUCCUUAUUCCGUAGUCAAGUGAAGUUUGAUUUAUGGUGUAAUUAAUUAUAUGGAAGGUUCCCAUGUUUUAAGAUGGAAUCAUUAUUUAUUUGAAUAAACAUCACCCCAAUAAUCAA